ACUCUAAACCAGCCGGAUACAAUAAAUUGGGUUCCGAGAGUUCAAAGCCUCUACAAAUUGGUGAUGAGAGU
rnacentral:ribozyme from 2 species